GGGGUUCUGAAGCGUGCAAUCAGUCUGGCAGGGAUUGUGCCACAUAAUCCUAACACGCUGUGCUCUGUACAAUUAGAGCAGACACAGUGGGGUAUGAUGGACGCUAAAGAGCUGGAAAAGCAGCAGUAGUGUUCCAAAGAAUAAGAUGAGAACAUUGAGCAAGAGCAAUGUCACCUUCUGCCAGACAAGAUGCUACAACAUCAGGACAUGGUCAAAAGGAAAGGAAAGCUUCGCACCACUACAAAGAUAGGGACCUGGAUGUUUCGGUAGAUUGGGUGUUGAAGAGAACAGUUGAGAAAGACCACCACAGGAAAUAACACCACCAGACCAAGUCAGCUUGGGCCCAAAUUGCAGCCUGGUUCUGAGCUGUGUCCCAAGUCAAAAGGGACAUCCGGCAAUACAACAAGAAGGUAAAUGAUCUUCAGCAGGAAAAGCUGAAUGUCUUGUGGAACAGCAUGAUCAUGGAGCUGACAACAACAGACAAGAUCCCAGGUGUGAGAUUUUCAUUCAUGAGUUCUGUUCCUGAGGCAUUGAACUCUGCCAAAAAGCAA